rnacentral:rRNA from 1 species
GACGAACGCUGGCGGCGUGCCUAACACAUGCAAGUCGAACGGAGAUUAUAGCAAUGUAAUCUUAGUGGCGGACGGGUGAGUAACGCGUGGGCAACCUACCUCUAACCGGGGGAUAACACAGGGAAACUUGUGCUAAUACCGCAUAAGAUCAUAGGAGGACAUCCUCUAGUGAUCAAAGGAGAAAUCCAGUGAGAGAUGGGCCCGCGUCCGAUUAGCUAGUUGGCGGUGUAACGGACCACCAAGGCGACGAUCGGUAGCCGAACUGAGAGGUUGAUCGGCCACAUUGGGACUGAGACACGGCCCAGACUCCUACGGGAGGCAGCAGUGGGAAUAUUGCGCAAUGGGGAAACCCUGACGCAGCAACGCCGCGUGAAGGAUGAAGGUUUUCGGAUUGUAAACUUCUUUGGUGAGGGACGAAAGAAAUGACGGUACCUCAAAACAAGCCACGGCUAACUACGUG